AUUGAACGCUGGCGGCAGGCCUAACACAUGCAAGUCGAACGAGUGGCGGACGGGUGAGUAAUGUCUGGGAAACUGCCCGAUGGAGGGGGAUAACUACUGGAAACGGUAGCUAAUACCGCAUACCAUAAGAUGAGCCCAGAUGGGAUUAGCUAGUUGGUGGGGUAACGGCUCACCAAGGCGACGAUCCCUAGCUGGUCUGAGAGGAUGACCAGCAACACUGGAACUGAGAGAAGGUCCAGACUCCUACGGUAGGCAGCAGUGGAGAAUAUUGCACAAUGGGGGCAAGCCGGAGGCAGCCAUGCCGCGUGUAUGAAGAAGGCCUUCGGGUUGUAAAGUACUUUCAGCGGGGAGGCGUGACCUGCAGAAGAAGCACCGGCGAACUCCGUGCCAGCAGCCGCGGUAAUUC
rnacentral:rRNA from 1 species